GUCCCGAUGGUGGAUUGGUAGGCAUCGGAGACUUGAGAUCUCUCGUGCCGAUGCCCGUGCCGGUGUCGGUUCGAGUCCGGCUGGGGGGGCACCA
rnacentral:tRNA from 1 species